rnacentral:rRNA from 1 species
UACGUAGGGGGCAAGCGUUGUCCGGAUUUAUUGGGCGUAAAGAGCGUGUAGGCGGCCAGGUAGGUCUGCUGUGAAAACUCGAGGCUCAACCUCGAGAUGUCGGCGGAAACCAUCUGGCUAGAGUCCGGAAGAGGAGAAUGGAAUUCCCGGUGUAGCGGUGAAAUGCGUAGAGAUCGGGAGGAACACCUAUGGCGAAAGCAGGUUACUGGACCAAUACUGACGCUGAGCUGCGAAAGCUAGGGGAGCAAACAGG